rnacentral:miRNA from 1 species
GUGGUGUCCAAUAUCUCCUUGG